CUGGCAGUAAUGGAAACUGAAGUCCUCUUUUUGUAUCCACAGGAUGGAUACAGUUGGGCCACUCCAGUGAGCCUCUCCAUGCUGCCCCAUCAAUGACCUGGAGGGACAUUCUUCCCUCUCUUAGAGAGAGGAUGUUUGGUCUCCAUAGCAACUCAGUUCUGGUCCUCU
rnacentral:sRNA from 1 species